rnacentral:rRNA from 1 species
GAUGAACGCUGGCGGCGUGCUUAGCACAUGCAAGUCGAACGAAGCAUUUGCGACAGAUUUUUUCGGAAUGAAGUUGCUUAUGACUGAGUGGCGGACGGGUGAGUAACGCGUGGGUAACCUGCCUUGUACUGGGGGAUAGCAGCUGGAAACGGCUGGUAAUACCGCAUAAGCGCACAAUGUUGCAUGACAUGGUGUGAAAAACUCCGGUGGUAUAAGAUGGACCCGCGUCUGAUUAGCUAGUUGGUGAGAUAACAGCCCACCAAGGCGACGAUCAGUAGCCGACCUGAGAGGGUGACCGGCCACAUUGGGACUGAGACACGGCCCAGACUCCUACGGGAGGCAGCAGUGGGGAAUAUUGCACAAUGGAGGAAACUCUGAUGCAGCGACGCCGCGUGAGUGAAGAAGUAAUUCGUUAUGUAAAGCUCUAUCAGCAGGGAAGAUAGUGACGGUACCCGACUAAGAAGCUCCGGCUAAAUACGUG